UGCGUAGGCGGAAGAUUAAGUCAGUAGUGAAAUCCUGCAGCUCAACUGUAGAACUGUUAUUGAUACUGAUCUUCUUGAAUACAGUUGAGGUAGGCGGAAUAUGUAAUGUAGCGGUGAAAUGCUUAGAUAUUACAUAGAACACCGAUUGCGAAGGCAGCUUACUAAACUGUGAUUGACGCUGAGGCACGAAAGCGUGGGGAGCGAACAGGAUUAGAUACCCUGGUAGUC
rnacentral:rRNA from 1 species